CACGUAUGGGGCGAGCGUUGUUCGGAAUUAUUGGGCGUAAAGGGUAUGCAGGCGGUUUCGUAAGUCUGGUGUGUAAGCCCUCAGCUUAACUGGGGAGACGCGCUGGAAACUGUGAGACUAGAGUACAGGAAGGGGAGUUGGAAUUCCAGGUGUAGGGGUGAAAUCUGUAGAUAUCUGGAAGAACAUCAGUGGCGAAGGCGAACUCCUGGCCAUGUACUGACGCUGAGAUACGAAAGCGUGGGGAGCAAACAGG
rnacentral:rRNA from 1 species